rnacentral:rRNA from 1 species
AGUCAUAUGCUUGUCUCAAAGAUUAAGCCAUGCAUGUCUAAGUAUAAGCAAUUAUACCGCGAAACUGCGAAUGGCUCAUUAUAUAAGUUAUCGUUUAUUUGAUAAUACUUUACUACUUGGAUAACCGUGGUAAUUCUAGAGCUAAUACAUGCUAAAAAUCCCGACUUCGGAAGGGUUGUAUUUAUUAGAUUAAAAACCAAUGCCCCUCGGGGCUCUCUGGUGAAUCAUGAUAACUAGUCGAAUCGACAGGCCUUGUGCCGGCGAUGGCUCAUUCAAAUUUCUUCCCUAUCAACUUUCGAUGUUUGGGUAUUGGCCAAACAUGGUGGCAACGGGUAACGGAGGGUUAGGGCUCGACCCCGGAGAAGGAGCCUGAGAAACGGCUACUACAUCCAAGGAAGGCAGCAGGCGCGCAAAUUACCCAAUCCCGACACGGGGAGGUAGUGACAAUAAAUACUGAUACAGGGCUCUUUCGGGUCUUGUAAUCGGAAUGAGUACAAUUUAAAUCCCUUAACGAGGAACAAUUGGAGGGCAAGUCUGGUGCCAGCAGCCGCGGUAAUUCCAGCUCCAAUAGCGUAUAUUAAAGUUGUUGUGGUUAAAAAGCUCGUAGUUGAACCUUGGGCCUUGCCGGCCAGUCCGCCUCACCGCGUGCACUGGUCCGGCCGGGCCUUUCCCUCUGCGGAACCCCAUGCCCUUCACUGGGUGUGGCGGGGAAACAGGACUUUUACUUUGAAAAAAUUAGAGUGCUCAAGGCAGGCCUAUGCUCGAAUACAUUAGCAUGGAAUAAUAGAAUAGGACGUGUGGUUCUAUUUUGUUGGUUUCUAGGACCGCCGUAAUGAUUAAUAGGGACAGUCGGGGGCAUCAGUAUUCAAUUGUCAGAGGUGAAAUUCUUGGAUUUAUUGAAGACUAACUACUGCGAAAGCAUUUGCCAAGGAUGUUUUCAUUAAUCAGGAACGAAAGUUAGGGGAUCGAAGACGAUCAGAUACCGUCGUAGUCUUAACCAUAAACUAUGCCGACUAGGGAUCGGACGAUGUUAUAUUUUUGACGCGUUCGGCACCUUACGAGAAAUCAAAGUGCUUGGGCUCCAGGGGGAGUAUGGUCGCAAGGCUGAAA